rnacentral:rRNA from 1 species
UACGUAGGUGGCAAGCGUUGUCCGGAAUUAUUGGGCGUAAAGGGCUCGCAGGCGGUUUCUUAAGUCUGAUGUGAAAGCCCCCGGCUCAACCGGGGAGGAUCAUUGGAAACUGGGAAACUUGAGUGCAGAAGAGGAGAGUGGAAUUCCACGUGUAGCGGUGAAAUGCGUAGAGAUGUGGAGGAACACCAGUGGCGAAGGCGACUCUCUGGUCUGUAACUGACGCUGAGGAGCGAAAGCGUGGGGAGCGAACAGG